rnacentral:rRNA from 1 species
CCUACGGGCGGCAGCAGUGGGGAAUAUUGGACAAUGGGCGAAAGCCUGAUCCAGCCAUGCCGCGUGUGUGAAGAAGGCCUUCGGGUUGUAAAGCACUUUCAGUGGGGAAGAAAGCCUUGGGGCUAAUACCCUCGAGGAAGGACAUCACCCACAGAAAAAGCACCGGCUAACUCCGUGCCAGCAGCCGCGGUAAUACGGAGGGGGCGAGCGUUAAUCGGAAUUACUGGGCGUAAAGCGCGCGUAGGCGGUCUGAUAAGCCGGUUGUGAAAGCCCCGGGCUCAACCUGGGAACGGCAUCCGGAACUGUCAGGCUAGAGUGCAGGAGAGGAAGGUAGAAUUCCCGGUGUAGCGGUGAAAUGCGUAGAGAUCGGGAGGAAUACCAGUGGCGAAGGCGGCCUUCUGGACUGACACUGACGCUGAGGUGCGAAAGCGUGGGUAGCAAACAGGAUUAGAUACCCGGGUAGUC